AGCAGCCGCGGUAAUUCCAGCUCCAAUAGCGUAUAUUAAAGUUGUUGCAGUUAAAAAGCUCGUAGUUGAAUUUCGGGGUCAGUAGAUUGGUCAUGCCUCCGGUAUGCACUGGUCUUACUGGCUCCUCCUUCCUGAUGAACCGUAAUGCCAUUAAUUUGGUGUUGCGGGGAGACUGGACUGUUACUUUGAAAAAAUUAGAGUGUUUAAAGCGGGCUAACGCUUGAAUACAUUAGCAUGGAAUAAUGAAAUAGGACGUUCGAUCUUAUUUUGUUGGUUUCUAAGAUUGACGUAAUGAUUAAUAGGGAUAGUUGGGGGCAUUAGUAUUCAAUUGUCAGAGGUGAAAUUCUUGGAUUUAUUGAAGACUAACUACUGCGAAAGCAUUUGCCAAGGAUGUUUUCAUUAAUCAAGAACGAAAGUUAGGGGAUCGAAGACGAUCAGAUACCGUCGUAGUCUUAACCAUAAACUAUGCCGACUAGGGAUCGGAUGAUGUAAUUUUUAAUGACUCAUUCGGCGCCUUAAC
rnacentral:rRNA from 1 species